GUGGGGAAUAUUGGACAAUGGGCGAAAGCCUGAUCCAGCCAUGCCGCGUGUGUGAAGAAGGUCUUCGGAUUGUAAAGCACUUUAAGUUGGGAGGAAGGGCAGUAAGUUAAUACCUUGCUGUUUUGACGUUACCGACAGAAUAAGCACCGGCUAACUUCGUGCCAGCAGCCACGGUAAUACAAAGGGUGCAAGCGUUAAUCGGAAUUACUGGGCGUAAAGCGCGCGUAGGUGGUUUUGUAAGUUGGAGGUGAAAUCCCCGGGCUCAACCUGGGAACUGCCUCCAAAACUGCAUGACUAGAGUACGGUAGAGGGUAGUGGAAUUUCCUGUGUAGCGGUGAAAUGCGUAGAUAUAGGAAGGAACACCAGUGGCGAAGGCGACUACCUGGACUGAUACUGACACUGAGGUGCGAAAGCGUGGGGAGCAAACAGGAUUAGAAACCCUGGUAGUCC
rnacentral:rRNA from 1 species